GAUUGAACAGGCUUUGUGGUUUCUAAUUCAAUUUUUUUAUGACAAGGAUUUCAACCAAGGUUGAUGGAACCAGCAACACGAGAGAGCAAGUCAUGUGGGGAAGCAGAGUGUAAAUCCGCAAUCUGUGCUCAGUAGGUCUCAGCAUUGGGAGGUGACAGGGGUGGGGGUGCCACUUGAGGGCUUCCCAGCAUUGGGAGGUGACGUCAGGGGCACUUGAGGGCUUCCCAUUUUCUGUUUUGAAUAGGAAUAGCAGUCGAUGUUAUCUUAUUUCUCUUCAAGCAUGGGGUCAUGGAUUGCAUUCCUAGCGAUAGUUAACCCGACUCACAAGCACUCGGCAGAAGAAAGAUACUCAAGGAGCUAUGUCCAAGGGACUCCUUUGAGGAACCCCAUCUGUAUCCAAGCCUCUUGGACCUACAGGGAGCAUGGUGCUUUGAUCAAGGAGGGAUGGGUAUAUUUUGCAUAUAAAGGAAAUGCGUGGCUAGAUACAGUCUCUUUUCCCAAUUCAUGUAUUUGUCUAGAAUCUUGCUACGAUCCUUUUAGGAGUUAUACUCCACUCUUCUUGAACUUGGGUGGACCUUCAUAACUGCUUUGACCAACAGAAUAUGGCAAGAGUGAUGUUUAGCAGGCCCCAAAGGGAGGACAAAGAGUUACUUUGUAACUCUGCUUCACGUUCCUAGAUUGUUCACUCAGAGCUCAGCUUGAGGAGCCAGUGACCAGGUCCAGGUGGGUUCCCCCCUAGCUCACGGAUCUGUUUGAAUUCUAGGUUGAAAGUCAGCACCAACCUCUCUGCCAUCAAAGUAGACCCUCCAACCAUGAGUCAAAUAGAGGGGAUUUGUUCCUAAUGUCUUGCAUAGUUUAAAGUCUUGAAAAAAAAGUGAUUUUUAUCUUAAGCAACUUUAUUUCCAUGUGCUCUCUUACACAUAAUAGACCCCAAACAAGUCACCUAAAAAAGAAUGCUAAUUUAUUUUGUUUACAAUUCCACACUUUAGACAAGGAUUAACAAGAACAGCCCUUCUGUGCCCCCAAGGGAUCGGAAGUUGGCUAGGAAGAGUCAAAUGAUUGGAGCUGGAAUCCUCUGGAAUUUUUCCACUCACUACCUGAUACAUUGUCUGAUAACACUCCUGAUCUCACCUCAGUUGGCAGAGUCACUGGUAGACCUACAGUUUCCUACUCCAUGUGGGUUUAUUAUUAGUAUUUUGUAACUCUAUGUUACAGAUACACGCUGUUUUUCUUUAUGUAUUUUUGUACACAAACACACACACACACACACACACACAAAACCCUGGUGCCUCUGGAGGCCAAACGAGGGCAUUUAGAAAUUGUUCAUUUCACAAGACCGGAUGUCUCUGCGAUUCCAAUCUAAUGCUGGCGUCCCAGGGAAGUCCUAGAGAGCUGCAGACUCUUCUUCGAUCUUCACUGGAAUUCCAAAGAAGUAGGUUCUAACUCCAGUGCAGGGGAUGCCUCUGCAUCAGGGUAGAUAAACUUGCCAGUCAGAGAGAGGACAAGCAGGCAGAAAGCAAAAGCUUUGCCCUCCCAUGUCCUUUGAUGUAGGCUGCCUCCAGAACGUGCUCAGCUCAACCGUGGGUCUUUCCCCGCCUCCAACCAUCACAGCGUAAAGUCCCUCACAGGCAUGCGCAGAUGCUGGAGUUUUAGCUGACUCCAGAUGCAGUUGACAACAGACCCAUCUCUUCCAGUGGAUUUGUACAACAUAGCACUGAUACCGAGGGAAGGGAGGAAUAAUUCCCUAAUAUUAUUAUACUGUGACUUCUCAAGGUCUAGCCUUAACCAGGAAGUAAGACAGAAGAGAGAGCAUGGUCAUUUACCUCAGCUAGAGAGUUUACUUAAUUGUUCUAAGGACAGAGGCUUCAAACUCACCCUCUCAGAGGCCUCUUCCUCACCAGGCACGCAGCUUCAGCCAAUCAGGGCAGCAGGGGCACGCCUCCACCAAAUAUGGACUUGUUUAAACCGCCAGCAUCAUGGUGCACCUGUGCAGCUCUCACGAUGGUUGUGGCUUAUUUUCAGGUGUAUGAGGAAGUCAGGUGCAAGUCAUAAGACUUAGCUGCAGUCCCGGGCGCCAUCUUGGGACUGCUGCCACACCCGCUCCUCACAGGUUCCUGUGUUUGAAAACGUGGUACCCAGAUGGUGCUGCUGUUUUGGGAGGCUGUAGAAUCUUUGGGACAAGGGGCUUGCCCAAAAGCAGUAGACCACCCAGGUGCGGUGCGUGGGUUAUAGCCCAGCAUCUUCCGGCCUGAGCUGUAUGUAUCCUGAUGUCUGAGAUGUGAGCUUCUGUACUGCAACUUCCAUUUUUGUGUUUUCUAUACUUUAGUAGACUUUAACCUCCCACACUGUGGCCCCAAAUAAAUCCCAUCUAAAGUUGCUUCUAUUGGGCACUUGGUCACAGCAACGAUGAGAAUAACUGACACAACCUUCUGCCCAUCAUCACAUUCUGUAGCUCACUGGGAUUGUGGAGGCCAAAAUUUCUUAAGUAUCACCUUGGUUUCUAACAUAAAAGUAAGUAAAAAGUAUUCUUGUACUCUCUGUGCCUUUUACAUCUUAGCCCUUUCAUUUGUUUGUUAAGUCCUGGCUUCACAGCUCCAGAGCCAUGCUACAUACUGUCCUGGUUCUCCAGAAACCUUAAAACAUUUCCCAAACAUAGGAACUGGUCUCCUUAAAGUUAACCUGGGCUUCCGCAAAGGGAGAGAAGUCUGUCACAUACAAACAGGCGUGCUCUCUCUACAGGCUCACUCCUGUCCUCCACCAGUUCUGUCAUUAAACUCGAGAUUCUCAAAAGUGUAUUAUGAAAUCGUAGCAUCGUGGAACUCAGAAUUCCAUCUCAACUAACAAUAUAUUUACUAAUAUAAAAGCAGUGAGAAAUGUUUGCUAUAAGAAUCUAUGGCAAGGGCUGGUGAGAUGGCUCAGUGGGUAAGAGCACCCAACUGCUCUUCCAAAGGUCUGAAGUUCAAAUCCCAGCAACCACAUGGUGGCUCACAACCAUCUGUAACAAGAUCUGACGCCCUCUUCUGGGGUAUCUGAAGACAGCUACAGUGUACUUACAUAUAAUAAAUAAAUAAAUCUUUAAAAAAAAAAAGAAUCUAUGGCAAAAAGAAAACAAACAAACAAACAAAAAAAAAACUAUGGCAAGGGCCCAGUAAGGAGGUGACUCAGCAGUUAAAGCACUUGCCACAGGCGAGACCUCAGGAGUAUGGAUCCCUAGAACCUAUGUAAUUAAUGCCAGGUGGCCAUGGUGGCCACAAUUCCAGCCUAUGAAGGAGGAGCACCAGGCUUGCUCGAGGGAGCUUCUUCAAAAUACUCCAGGCAGAGGGUCUCCAUGCUUUGGGGGAGGUCAUCAUAGUUAUAAAAAGCUGAUGCCAUCGUGAUGAAACCCUUUCCAAGCAUCCUAGCCACAAUUCAGGAGGCCACCUCCAACUCCAAAAUGGUUCACAAUCUCAGGAUAGGGCCCUGGUUCUGGGGAAGAAACAAAACCAAACCAAAGCUAAACGUUUAAAAUGAAUAAAAAAAUAAGCACACGGAGACUCUUAGCAACAGCAUCAACAGACAUUAGUUGGUUUUUUUUCUUCUGACAAUCAAAAUUUCAUACAAGACUUCUUCUAGUCUUCAAACAUCUGAGAGUAGUCCUGGCUAAAGAAGGAACCUUUGUACCUUGGGUUGCACUGCUCUGGACCCUGGAGAGGCACAAAUCACACGCAAACACCAAGUUCCAAACACAAAGAGAUCCUUUGUUAAGCAAGGCCGAGAGUCCAGGUGACUGAAGCAGCAGCAAAGAGCAUUGCAGGUAUUGAUUCUAUGAGGGGAAGCGGGGGAGGGCUGUGUUGGGAUGAGCUGGGAAGGGUUGGUAAAUUCUGAUCUAGGCACGCAAUUAAGAUGGUCCAUGGGGGAGGGUGUUGGUUGCUGGACCUUGGUGUUUUGGUACUUGGACCUCAGUGACCAGCCUCAGGAAUGAGUCAGGCAUAGGAAGUGGCC
rnacentral:lncRNA from 1 species